rnacentral:tRNA from 1 species
GGAGGUGUGGCAGAGCGGUUGAAUGCACCAGUCUUGAAAACUGGCAAGGUUGCAAGACCUUCGUGAGUUCGAAUCUCACCGCCUCCGCCA